GGGUAUGGGUUCUCAGUGCGUAGCAUCAUGCCCUGAGAAACCCCGAUGUAUCUGAUGUUCACCUAUAGUCGGGUGGCGGCUGGUCGGCGCUGUGGCGCCCGUCAGAUCGCUGAUCCGGUGCGGAGAACUUCGGAGAAGUUGGUGGGCUCAUAUCUGUCAAGACCACUCACCUCACCUUCACGUGGGGCUCCCCGUCACCCUGCAUCGGUCCCGACCGGGGUAGGGUGCGAAAGAGUGAGUGGCACCAAGACGAGAAGGCACCAACACACGAUAAAACAUACCCUUGACGAUGAAGAUAAUGAUGAUACGUCGGAAAAUAUAAAUAAUGAAGUUUACGGUGCAGGGGCGGGAUACCCCAGUACCGGCGCAGACGUGGGUGGACAAGCGGGCCCCGCUGUGUCGUUAGCUUGUGACCGAUGUACCGGUUGUAUGUAAAUAUGAAACCGGAAUUUUUAUAUAGAAAAUACAAUGAUUAGAAAUAUUUUAUUCAAAGUAUUGCCCAUCGCUAGCUAUAUAUUUUCCCCAUCUGUUUGGCAAUUGCUGGAUGCCACGCCAAAAAAACUGUCUCUCUUUUGAGGCAAACCAGUCAUCGAGCCAUUUUCGUACAUUUUCGUAAGAAGCGAAGUGCUGGUCAGAAAGUGCGUGUCCCAUCGAUACAAAUAAAUAGUAAUCGAACGGAGCCAAGUCUGGUGAGUAAGCCGCGUGUGAAAGUAUUUCCCAACUGAACGCUUCGAUCGUUUCCUUGACCGGUUUUGCUGUAUGCGAUGGUGCAUUAUCAUGGAGCAAAAUUACUUUGUGUUGCCUUUUUUCAUAUUGUGGUCGUUUUUCACGCUAAGCUUGAUUCAAAUCGAUCGUCUAUUGUCGGUAGCGCUCAGUAUUAACGGUUUCGCCAGGUUUUAACAUCUCAUAAUAGAUCACAUCCUUCUGAUCCCACCAAACACAGAGCAUCGUUUUCCGUCCAUAGCGAUUUGUUCUUGUUGUCGAUGUCGGUGGUUCGCCUGGAGCUACCCAUGAUCUUUUACGCUCAUGACUUAUGGCUCGUUAACCAUACGCCAUAAAACAAAUAGAUGAUGAAGAUGAUGAUGAAGAUAAUGAUGAUAUGUCGGAAAAUAUAAAUAAUGAAGUUUACGGUGCAGGGGCGGGAUAUCCCAGUACCGGCGCAGACGUGGGUGGACAAGCGGGCCCCGCUGUGUCGUUAGCUUGUGACCGUGGCCGGAUGGGGGUGGACCACCAGGCCCCCAUUCAUGUUAUCACGACUGGUGAGGAGGAAAAAGGAGACAUUGAAAAGAAAGAGGCUCCGAUAGCCGAUAUUGAACAUAUAGAGUUCAAGCCAUAAUAGUUCGACGGUGAGGCGAGCGACCGAGCUGCUUGUUGCCCUUGAGAGUGGAGGAGAACAAGAACUACCAAGAUCCCACUGGUGGUCAAGACUGUGCAACAUGUCUGCUAAUAGGCGCUACUUCCUUUUGUUGAUGCUCGAAAGCUUUAUUGAUCGUAGACCAUUGUCCUGAUCUACGCAUGAUCCGUGUAAGCGGAUAUAAAUAUCGGCGGGAGAACAACAACGAGGUCCACCGACCUCCGGUCCUCGAAAUAUUUUAUUCUCCGCUGCCCGAAGGAAGCGAGAUUGUAUUGGAUUUUGAACAAAUAGCAACCGGUGGAGUAGUGGCCGCUCCGGCCACAAUUAGGACGCAUAACAGAAGGGGUGUGCAAUACAGUAUUAGUACUAAAUGCUUUAGAUGUAGAUGUUAUACAUACAUGUUUUGCGUGUUAAAAUAAAAUAUAAUAAAAUGUCGUAUAAGUGUUGUAACCGUAGGAUUUGAUGUUUAUUACUGUAAAUUAC